GAAGGAUAUUUGAUGUUCACCAAUAGUUUAAAAAAAUGUCUUAGCUAGAAAAGUUAUAUUUUGUUUACAUUUUUAAGUAAAAUUUGAAUUGGAAAAGCAGGGAAUUGUUUGAUUCCAUUAGUGAUUGACAUUAUUCAUCGGCAUUUGUUAGGAUAUGCCUAAAGUGGCAUAUACUGAUUUGGGAGAUCAAAUUUCGGAGUAACUCGAAACAGGAAAAGCAAGAAAUUGUUCGAUUCCAUUAGUGUUUGACAAUAUUCAUCGACAUUCGCUCGGAAAUACCUAAUGUGGCAUCACUGGUUUGGGAGAUCAAAUUUCAAAAUUACUCGAACCAGGAAAAUCAAGAAUUUGUUUGAUAUCCUAUAAGUGCUCGACAAUAUUCAUCGGCAUUCAUUCGGACAAGCAUAUUAUGGCAUAAUGGUUGCAUAUCUGUGAAUUAUUUUAAGAUUUUUGGUCGUUAUAUCUAUAUUCGAUGAAGAACAAUAUGAUAGAAUUUUUGUUCUAAACAAUGACUUCAUUUUAGCUUAUUAUGUGCAUAUAUGUAUUUUCUCAUAUUACUUCUGCUAUUGGUGUCCGUGUAUAGCUAUGUAGUUUCAUUUAUUAUAGCUACUUGUGGGUCUAAAGUUCUUGAUUUAGAUUUUCUAAAAUGAUUUUUGCGUUGUUGAUGCAGAUAUUCUUCUUGAAAAAUGAAAAUCAAUUCAGAAGUAAAAGAAAACUCCUUAAUUUUGGUUAAGCAACGCACCGAGACUGAAAUAUGGUUUUGGCCUUGGUCGCAUAUGGUAUUCAUCUACUCUGAAAAUGGUCGAAGAGUGAUUCUAAUUUGACUGGCCAGGUAAAGGAGUUUAAGAAAAAGGCUUAAAUAUCUCUUGUGGGACACUUCUAUUGGCUAUAAGAAAAUGGCCUAUAAGUUUACGUUUGGCGGCUGACCAACAUGUUUAUGUUGUAACUAUGUCAAUCACAGAGUGGGAUGUUGUUGACCAACAAUCUGCCUAGCAGUGUUGUAGGAGCAUUUUCACCUUGCGUAGCUUUAAAAGAGUGGGAUGUUGUUGACCAACUUGUUGUUUAAUUUGUUCUUCCUAUGUUUUAUUGUCGAAGUUGAAGUAUAUGAAGAAUGACUUUUCUCUUGAGGUUAAUAUAUUUGCCCCCAUGAAAUUAUAGGUGCUUAGAUGGUUCUUACUUCUCACCAAGGCUAAUGAUUACAUCUCUUAUGCGUUACUGCCUGGUGAGAUGACUAUUUGGAGUAGAAACAUGCUCGACAACGGCUAAAAGUUUUACAUUAUGAUUUAUAUGCUUCUGUAGCAGGAGUAGAGGAUUGGAGGAAGAGUCUAAGGCAAGAUGCAUGCUCAUGCAAGUAGUUAUGAAGAAAUAUAUUCUAUUUGAACCUCUGAGGCUCUUGAGUCAAAAUGAUGAUUUGGUUGCAAUUGAAAAGAGCAGCGAAACUUUUGUAAAACCAAUUCCCUAAUGCAUGUUUUGGAAAAUAUCCAGAAAAGCAACUAUUCCUCAGGAGUAUGAAAAAUUGUCCUUAUCUUUGUAUAAUUCAGAUGCCUUUAUGGUCUGCAUUUUUUAAUGUAAUGGCCAGUCUUUAAAUAAAUUAGAUCAAUCAAUGUUGAUAUUUCU